rfam:Brachypodium distachyon strain Bd21 chromosome 4, whole genome shotgun sequence.
CUAAUACUCCCCUCCGUCCAACAAAGGAUGUCUCAAGUUUGUCAAAAUUUGGAUGUAUCUAGACAUGACUUAGUGUAUAGAUGCAUUCAAAUUUAGUCAACGUUGAGACAUCCUUCGUUGGACGGAGAGACUAUAUA